AUGUGGGGAUGUGAGGUCAUAGGACUCUCAGGAAAAAAGAAAUCCAGUCCAAACCCAUCCCACAUUCUGCCAAGGUCUUCUCCUCCAAAUCACGAGAUCUGUCGUCCGUGCAGCAUGCUUUCCUCUUUCUUGGCUGGCUCCACUAUGGAACCAGUCCUCAUUAUAAUAAAAAUACUGUCUGUUUUUCUGCCUGUCCAAAGCUUCCUGCCUGAGAGCUUCACUGGACAAGUCAACACCAAGUGUUGCUUCUGCAAUUAUGGCCUAAGUCAUGAUAUGCUCUGCAGCAUGUCUACCUCCUUACACAGGUGCUUGCAGGUGGUCUGCUGCUUGUGCCAGUUAAUACGGGAAGACAUCUAGUAACUCCUAUACCUCUACUGAAUUUAGGAUAGUAUAUGCAGGGCUGCCAUCCUUAAUAUGUCCAAACAUACUGACUUGAGGGCAACUGUCAAAAGAUAGCACAGAUAUAACCUUUUAGUCUUCCCUCCACCCAUCUCCUGAAACUUGCCAGAAGUGCAGUUUUUAAAACUCAGCAUUAGGCUGUCAUUUCUUUGUCUUCCUUUCUGGAGGAUUUCCAUAUUCAAACCACCAUCUCCAGUAGAGCUGUUGGAGAAAACUGACUUCAUGAAGGAUGUAUCUAUCUCAUUGUUAUCAAUCAGGCCCACUCAAGUUUUUUCGUCGCUGUAGGCAAAAUCAAACAUAGAGGCGGCAGAGCAACUGGCCUGUGCUCCAUACCCCACCCAGUCACCUCUCUGUUAGUCCACUGGCCACACAACCUCUCCUUUCAGCUGCAAGGAGUGCACAUGGGGACUGUGCAGAGCAGGGCUGAGCCGGCACAUAGCAGGGCUGCCAGCACUCAUUAAUAUGGAUUUUACGUGAGAUGCUCACUGAAAACCUUGUCUACAAGAACUGCCCUGCUGAUGGUAACAGCAGGUUACAAGCAGCCCAGUUUUGGAGCUGCAUUGUGACUGAAGAAGUAAAGAAUUCCUCUCAGCCUUAUUUAAAGACAAGAUUUGUCCACUUCUCUCUGUCUCUCUGCAGGCACCAACCCUAGUGUGACCAUGCUGAUAUCCAGAUAGCUUCAUGGUCCUCCCAUCCGCAUGAGAGAGACCGAAGCCCAGUGAUCCUGUGCUGUCUACGUUGGACACAGAAGCUUGACAGCAUCUGUCUGACUAGAUACACAUGUAAAUGUUCCCUUGUACAUGUAUGGUAGUUCCCCAAAGUGCAGCAGUAUUUCUUACAGAGAAUAAAAUGUAUAAUCCAGAGCUAAGAACA
rnacentral:lncRNA from 1 species